AUUGAACGCUGGCGGCAGGCCUAACACAUGCAAGUCGAGCGGAUGAGUGGAGCUUGCUCCAUGAUUCAGCGGCGGACGGGUGAGUAAUGCCUAGGAAUCUGCCUGGUAGUGGGGGACAACGUUUCGAAAGGAACGCUAAUACCGCAUACGUCCUACGGGAGAAAGCAGGGGACCUUCGGGCCUUGCGCUAUCAGAUGAGCCUAGGUCGGAUUAGCUAGUUGGUGAGGUAAAGGCUCACCAAGGCGACGAUCCGUAACUGGUCUGAGAGGAUGAUCAGUCACACUGGAACUGAGACACGGUCCAGACUCCUACGGGGGGCAGCAGUGGGGAAUAUUGGACAAUGGGCGAAAGCCUGAUCCAGCCAUGCCGCGUGUGUGAAGAAGGUCUUCGGAUUGUAAAGCACUUUAAGUUGGGAAGAAGGGCAGUAAGUUAAUACCUUGCUGUUUUGACGUUACCGACAGAAUAAGCACCGGCUAACUUCGUGCCAGCCGCCGCCGUAAUAC
rnacentral:rRNA from 1 species